rnacentral:rRNA from 1 species
UACAGAGGGGGCAAGCGUUGUUCGGAAUUACUGGGCGUAAAGGGCGCGUAGGCGGCCUUCUAAGUCGGACGUGAAAUCCCCGGGCUCAACCCGGGAACUGCGUCCGAUACUGGAAGGCUUGAAUCCGGGAGAGGGAUGCGGAAUUCCAGGUGUAGCGGUGAAAUGCGUAGAUAUCUGGAGGAACACCGGUGGCGAAGGCGGCAUCCUGGACCGGUAUUGACGCUGAGGCGCGAAAGCCAGGGGAGCAAACGGG